ACACUCCUGCGGGAGGCAGCAGUGGGGAAUAUUGGACAAUGGGCGCAAGCCUGAUCCAGCCAUGCCGCGUGAGUGAUGAAGGCCCUAGGGUUGUAAAGCUCUUUCACCGGUGAAGAUAAUGACGGUAACCGGAGAAGAAGCCCCGGCUAACUUCGUGCCAGCAGCCGCGGUAAUACGAAGGGGGCUAGCGUUGUUCGGAUUUACUGGGCGUAAAGCGCACGUAGGCGGACUAUUAAGUCAGGGGUGAAAUCCCGGGGCUCAACCCCGGAACUGCCUUUGAUACUGGUAGUCUUGAGUUCGAGAGAGGUGAGUGGAAUUCCGAGUGUAGAGGUGAAAUUCGUAGAUAUUCGGAGGAACACCAGUGGCGAAGGCGGCUCACUGGCUCGAUACUGACGCUGAGGUGCGAAAGCGUGGGGAGCAAUCAGGAUUAGAAACCCGAGUAGUCCCAUGAU
rnacentral:rRNA from 1 species